CUCGUCCUCGACCGCGAGGAAUUUCGCGCCGAGCGACUCGACCUGCUCCUUGGUGGCCGGACGAACGUCGGUCGCGGUCACCACGGCGCCGAGGCGGCGCGCAGUGGCGAUCGCCUGCAAUCCCGCAACGCCAACGCCCAUCACAAAGACUUUCGCAGCAGGCACGGUGCCGGCCGCGGUCAUCAUCAUCGGGAAGGCGCGGCCGAAGGCUUCGGCUGCUUCGACCACGGCGCGGUAGCCGGCGAGGUUCGCCUGCGACGA
rnacentral:misc_RNA from 1 species